UAACGCGUGAGGAACCUGCCUCAAAGAGGGGGACAACAGUUGGAAACGACUGCUAAUACCGCAUAAGCCCACGGGUCGGCAUCGACCAGAGGGAAAAGGAGCAAUCCGCUUUGAGAUGGCCUCGCGUCCGAUUAGCUAGUUGGUGAGGUAAUGGCCCACCAAGGCGACGAUCGGUAGCCGGACUGAGAGGUUGAACGGCCACAUUGGGACUGAGACACGGCCCAGACUCCUACGGGAGGCAGCAGUGGGGAAUAUUGCACAAUGGGGGAAACCCUGAUGCAGCGACGCCGCGUGGAGGAAGAAGGUCUUCGGAUUGUAAACUCCUGUUGUUGAGGAAGAUAAUGACGGUACUCAACAAGGAAGUGACGGCUAACUACGUGCCAGCAGCCGCGGUAAAACGUAGGUCACAAGCGUUGUCCGGAAUUACUGGGUGUAAAGGGAGCGCAGGCGGGAAGACAAGUUGGAAGUGAAAUCUAUGGGCUCAACCCAUAAACUGCUUUCAAAACUGUUUUUCUUGAGUAGUGCAGAGGUAGGCGGAAUUCCCGGUGUAGCGGUGGAAUGCGUAGAUAUCGGGAGGAACACCAGUGGCGAAGGCGGCCUACUGGGCACCAACUGACGCUGAGGCUCGAAAGUGUGGGUAGCAAACAGGAUUAGAUACCCUGGUAGUCCACACCGUAAACGAUGAUUACUAGGUGU
rnacentral:rRNA from 1 species